UACUGGGGUCUCACCACCAUCAUUCUAAUGGGUUAGGUUAUACUGGGCUCUCACCACCAUCAUUCUAAUGGAUUAUGUUAUACUGGGCUCUAACCAUCAUCAUUCUAAUUGGUUAGGUUAUACUGCGCUCUCACCUCCAUCAUUCUAAUGGGUUAGGUUAUACUGGUCUCUAACCAUCAUUCUAAUGGGUUAGGUUAUACUGGUCUCUCUCCACCAUCAUUCUAAUGGGUUAGGUUAUACUGGUCUCUCACCACCAUCAUUCUAAUGGGUUUGGAUAUACUGCGCUCUCACCUCCAUCAUUCUAAUGGGUUAGGUUAUACUGGUCUCUAACCAUCAUUCUAAUGGGUUAGGUUAUACUGGUCUCUCUCCACCAUCAUUCUAAUGGGUUAGGUUAUACUGGUCUCUCACCACCAUCAUUCUAAUGGGUUUGGAUAUACUGCGCUCUCACCUCCAUCAUUCUAAUGGGUUAGGUUAUACUGGUCUCUAACCAUCAUUCUAA